UACGUAGGAAGCAAGCGUUGUCCGGAAUCACUGGGCGUAAAGCGCGUGUAGGCGGUACGGCAAGUCUGCUGUGAAAGCUCUCGGCUUAACCGGGAGAGGUCGGUGGAAACUGCCGCACUGGAGGACGGUAGAGGGGGGGUGGAAUUCCCGGUGUAGCGGUGAAAUGCGCGAUAUCGAGGAAGAACACCCGUGGACGGAAG
rnacentral:rRNA from 1 species